UACGAAGGGGGCUAGCGUUGCUCGGAAUCACUGGGCGUAAAGCGCACGUAGGCGGAUUGUUAAGUCAGGGGUGAAAUCCUGGAGCUCAACUCCAGAACUGCCUUUGAUACUGGCGAUCUUGAGUCGGGAGAGGUGAGUGGAACUGCGAGUGUAGAGGUGAAAUUCGUAGAUAUUCGCAAGAACACCAGUGGCGAAGGCGGCU
rnacentral:rRNA from 1 species